UUUAAAUAAUCUGCUCAACAAUGUAUAUGCCAAAUAAAACUCAAUUAAUUAAUUCAUACACUAAAUAACAACAUAAAACAAAUGGCAACCAAGAUGCAUACAUCAUAAGUGAUUUCUGACCUUGAGGAAGAGGUGGGGGUAUCUGCACUCACAGUGCUUAUUUCAUGUAUUAUUUAACAUUUGUUUAUCUUGAUUGCCAUUUAUUUUGUGGUGAUAUUAUAU